AUUCCUACGGGAGGCAGCAGUUAGGAAUCUUGCGCAAUGGCCGAAAGGCUGACGCAGCAACGCCGCGUGGGGGAUGAAGGUCUUCGGAUCGUAAACCCCUUUUCUGGGGGAAGAUAAUGACGGUACCCCAGGAAUAAGCCCCGGCUAACUACGUGCCAGCAGCCGCGGUAAUACGUAGGGGGCGAGCGUUGUCCGGAUUUAUUGGGCGUAAAGAGCGCGUAGGCGGCAUGCCAAGUCGUGCGUGAAAGGCCCCGGCUUAACCGGGGAGGGUCGUGCGAUACUGGCGAGCUCGAGGCCGGCAGGGGGAAGUGGAAUUCCCGGUGUAGUGGUGGAAUGCGUAGAUAUCGGGAGGAACACCAGUGGCGAAGGCGGCUUCCUGGACCGGUCCUGACGCUGAGGCGCGAAAGCGUGGGGAGCGAACUGAAUUAGAUACUCAGGUAGUCCACGCUGUAAACGAUGGGUGCUAGGUGUCGGGGGUAUCGACCCCUCCGGUGCCGCAGCUAACGCAUUAAGCACCCCGCCUGGGGAGUACGGCCGCAAGGCUAAAACUCAAAGGAAUUGACGGGGGCCCGCACAAGCAGCGGAGCGUGUGGUUUAAUUCGAUGCAACGCGAAGAACCUUACCCAGGCUUGACAUGCAUUCGAAAGCCCUGGAAACAGGGCCCCCGAAAGGCGGAUGCACAGAUGCUGCAUGGCUGUCGUCAGCUCGUGUCGUGAGAUGUUGGGUUAAGUCCCGCAACUAGCGCAACCCUCGCUGCCAGUUGAUUACUCUGGCGGGACCGCCGGGACAAACCCGGAGGAAGGUGGGGAUGACGUCAAGUCAGCACGGCUCUUACGCCUGGGGCUACACACACGCUACAAUGGCCGGUACAGAGGGUCGCCAAGCCGCGAGGUGGAGCAAAUCCCAGAAAGCCGGUCUCAGUUCGGAUUGCAGGCUGCAACUCGCCUGCAUGAAGUCGGAGUUGCUAGUAACCGCGGGUCAGCACACCGCGGCGAAUACGUUCCCGGGCCUUGUACACACCGCCAUCCAUAUG
rnacentral:rRNA from 1 species